rnacentral:hammerhead_ribozyme from 1 species
AUACAGAUGACGAGUCUUAAACAGGAUGAAAUGGACGUCCUGGAU